rnacentral:rRNA from 1 species
CCUACGGGAGGCAGCAGUGAGGAAUAUUGGUCACUGGACGCAAGUCUGAACCAGCCAUGCCGCGUGCAGGAAGACGGCUCUAUGAGUUGUAAACUGCUUUUGUACGAGGGUAAACGCAGAUACGUGUAUCUGUCUGAAAGUAUCGUACGAAUAAGGAUCGGCUAACUCCGUGCCAGCAGCCGCGGUAAUACGGAGGAUUCAAGCGUUAUCCGGAUUUAUUGGGUUUAAAGGGUGCGUAGGUGGUCGGAUAAGUUAGAGGUGAAAUCCCGGGGCUCAACUUCGGAAUUGCCUUUGAUACUGUUUGGCUAGAGAGUAGUUGCGGUAGGCGGAAUGUAUGGUGGAGCGGUGAAAUGCUUAGAGAUCAUACAGAACACCGAUUGCGAAGGCAGCUUACCAAGCUACUUCUGACGUUGAGGCACGAAAGCGUGGGGAGCAAACAGGAUUAGAUACCCUUGUAGUC